rnacentral:misc_RNA from 1 species
GAACGCACCUUGCGCCCCUUGGCUAUUCCGAGGAGCAUGCCUGUUUGAGUGUCAUUAAUAUAACCUCAAACCUUUCUUUUGUUGAAGGGUUUGGAUGUGGGGGUUUUGCUGGGCCUCUUAAGAGGUUCAGCUCCUCUGAAAUGCAUUAGCAGAACAACCUUGCUCAUUGGUGUGAUAACUAUCUACGCUUAUGAAUGUGAGGGGCAGUUCAGCUUUCUAACUGUCUUUGGACAAUUCAUCAUUAAUGUGACCUCAAAUCAGGUAGGACUACCCGCUGAACUUAAG